AGCCAUGUAAAGAGGUAGAAAUAACCAACUAUAGACAAUAUAUAAUAUACUUAUUGAUAACUGUGCACUGUUUGGAAAGGCUGCAGAACCCACUUCUAGCUACCAUGCAAAUAAGUAUCUUAUAAUAACUACUAGUAAGAAAACCUUUAUAUUUUACCAUAAUCAAAAUGUAAGGCGGCCUAGAGUUACAACUUUUAACUACUCAUUGAGCCAACCUGCUGAGCUAUGAGGAUAAGGAUACUGAGGACCUGGAGCAAAGCCCAUUGAAUCAACAUGGCCGCCAGGAGGGCCUGGUCGAGGUGCUCUGGAAUCGUAUAUGAUAUUAUUUCUGUUCAACAUGGAUGGAUCAGAACCAAAAUUAUUCAUCCUUGUAUGGUUCAACUCAUCCAGUCGAGGUGCAUAUCGCUGCAUUGCAGGCAUGUUCAUCCUAUAGGAUGACUCUACAGCUGCACCCACGUGGCCAUAAGGGAUAGAUGAUAGUGGUCCCAUUUGGCCAUAUCCUGGUUCAAGACCACCCAAAUAAUUUCUUUGGACGGAAUAAUCAACAUCUUGUCCAUAAAAUCGAACUUGCGACCGCAUAUCUGACCCCCUCUCUAAUCCAGUGACAUAUGAUCGAUAACCAAUAUCCUCUGCAAUCUCUCUCAUGUUCCCUGUCGAUUGUUCCUCCAAGUUAGCAUGAGGAAAUCCAUGAAUGCCAUGUGAAUACUCCAUACCAUUCAUGCUGUAUUUGCUACCCACAUCUUCAUGAACAUAGGACAUGCUCCCACCAUAAGCUGUUCCAUAUGGCAGAUGUGAGCUAGGCAUGCCAGACUCCAAAUUUGGCAAACUAUUUUCGCCAACCUUUGUGUGCAUGGGCGUUUCAAGAGAUCUAGAUGGGGGACCUUCCUGUGAGGUUCUACCAUCAACCACGUUGGUUGGUGAACGAUGAGGCACUUCCUUGUUCGUAUCACUUCCAGAAGGCUUUCCACCUUUCCACUUGUUCUUGGGUAAUUUUUCACCCGUUCCUCUGCCAAUCUUAUCUUCAAUAUGCUUAGUCUUCCUUGAAGUCUCCUCAGACCGGUUUCUCUCAAGGCCGUGACUAUCUUGGCUUUCUUUGUCACCAUUUUCAUGAGGAGAGCAUUCUUUACGACCUCCAAUCAAAGCUAUCUCAUGAUUUGGUUCUUUACUUUCCAUGUAAAGAUCAUCUGUCACCUCUGAAGUACCAGGAUUGCAACAGUGAACCUCCACUGGAUGAUCAGGGGAUUUUAAGUCAUGGCAACUUUUUUCCAAAUUGGAUCCUCCCCGUCGCAUGAAUAAAUGAUCAUGCUUCUGAGCUAUGGCCUUGUGUUUUACACUCCAAUCAGGACGGCUCCAAAGAUAAAGAAGUGGGGCAGUCACGUUCCACUGUUCCAUUUGUUUAUCAUUCUCAUCAACAGAACCAGGUAGAUAAAAUGACUUCCCUGACAAAAACUGAUCAUCCUCCCAAACAAGAUCGUAAGGUGUACGCUUUUUGUCUAACCUUUCUGUUUCUGGUGGAACAAUCAGAAUAAGGAGUUUUGGUUUAAAUUCAAGUGCCUUAUCAAUGAACUUGUUAGCCAAUGCUGCUUUUACUCCAAAAGGAGGGUUGAGUCCCAUGAUCAACUGUGAACCACUUUUUGGCAGCUCAUCUGGUUGAACAGUCAUCCAAUCCCUCUUCUCAAAAUUGAAGUCAUUCUUUGGUUGGAAAACAUCAUAGUUUUUAUAUGAGCAUUUCUUCCCUGUCUCUUCAAGCUUCUUUUUCAUAAGACAACUAAAAUCAUUCGCACCACAACAGAAGUCAACAACCAUAUCACCAUCUUGUACAUACCAAUGGAGCACAUUGACAAUCUCUUUCAGUUUCUCCACUUUCGUAAAAUGGCGGCCAAAGGAUGUAUAACGCAUUCCAUAGAGAAAUGGUGCAAGAUACACUCUAAGCUUGUUCUUCCACUUAAAAACCUGAUUCAGAACCUCUGGUUCACAAACAGCUUUGGCAUCUUCAGUGCUGCAUCCAUCUUCUAGCUUCCUCAAAGCUGUCCUGACAGCCUCAACUGCACCCUCCACCUUUCCUGUCGUAAUUGUCUUGUCAACAACAGUUUUUGAUGAGUAUGCAUGUGUAGAUGGAACUUUAUGCUUUUUCUUGACAUCAUCCAUUGUUAUUGAUGAUGCAGCCUCUUUUAUUAAAGCCAAAAUUCUCUUCUCUGUUUCAGCGUCCAAUGAAGGUAAUUCAUUGCUUAACUUCCGGGCUGAAGUCUUAACUGUCAUAGUUUUAUUGAGUUCACUACUAUGCAAAACCUGCUUCUGAAGUUUUACUUGCUCAGACCUUUUAGUCAUAACCCUAUAUAAUCUGUCACCCAGUGAAGUCUUGUUUAUGGUAGUUGUUGCAGACCUAUCCACAUCUGUUGAGCAAGACUUUGUAUUUUCCUUUAAAGAUUUUCUGAAUGCAUCAUUUGUUUUCACUUUCCUCAACAAAUCUGAUCCAGAUGAUAUUUUUUCACUUCUUUUGAUACUUGCAACCUUUGUCACACCAGAAUAUGACCCAUUAAGUUCUUUAGCAACAGUUUUUGCUGAAAAAGAGUCUUCUGAUGUAAGCCUUCUUUUCUUUGGCAAAAGUUUCCCUGAGCUUCCAGGCAACUCUAAUAUCCGUUUUUUCUUCUUUUCUUCAACAUUAGGGAACCUUAUGUCUCUACUGGGAGUUCCAAGGUCAUCAAUGAUCUCAUGUUUUAAGCAAUAUAUUAAUACACGGUUUGGCAAUAGGCCCUCCCAUGCCCUUGCUGCUGCUGUCUCUUCCUCUUCUUCUUCUCCUCCUCCUCCUUUCCCUUCUUCUUCUUCUUCUUCUUCUUCU
rnacentral:misc_RNA from 1 species